GACAGAGGGUGCAAACGUUGUUCGGAAUUACUGGGCGUAAAGCGUGUGUAGGCGGCCAUGUAAGUCGGAUGUGAAAGCCCCAGGCUCAACCUGGGAAGUGCACUCGAUACUGCGUGGCUUGAGUAUCGGAGAGGUUGGUGGAAUUCCCGGUGUAGUGGUGAAAUGCGUAGAUAUCGGGAGGAACACCAGUGGCGAAGGCGACUUCUGGCCUGUUCUUGACGCUGAGGCGCGAAAGCUAGGGAGCAAACGGGG
rnacentral:rRNA from 1 species